rnacentral:rRNA from 1 species
CCCUUAGAUGUUCUGGGCCGCACACGCGCUACACUGAAGGAGGCAGCGUGUACUCCUGGAUCGAAAGAUUUGGGUAACCCGCGAAUCUCCUUCGUGCUAGGGAUUGAGGUUUGCAAUUAUCCUUCAUGAACGAGGAAUUCCCAGUAAGUGCAAGUCAUAAGCUUGCGCUGACUACGUCCCUGCCCUUUGUACACACCGCCCGUCGCUACUACCGAUUGAACGAUUUAGUGAGGACUUCGGACUGGGACCGAUGCGGCUUUCGGGCUGCGUCGGUAUUCUGGAAAGAUGUCCAAACUGUAUCAUUUAGAGGAAGUAAAAGUCGUAACA